UAGUCGAAUUAAGAAACUUUU
rnacentral:piRNA from 1 species